rnacentral:rRNA from 1 species
AUUGAACGCUGGCGGAAUGCUUUACACAUGCAAGUCGAACGGCAGCACGGACUUCGGUCUGGUGGCGAGUGGCGCACGGGUGAGUAAUGUAUCGGAACGUGCCCAGUCGGGGGGGAUAACGUAGUGAAAAUUACGCUAAUACCGCAUACGAACUAUGGAUGAAAGCGGGGGAUCGCAAGACCUUGACCGGGUGGAGCGGCCGAUAGCAGAUUAGGUAGUUGGUGGGGUAAAGGCCCACCAAGCCAACGAUCUGUAGCUGGUCUGAGAGGACGACCAGCCACACUGGAACUGAGACACGGUCCAGACUCCUACGGGAGGCAGCAGUGGGGAAUUUUGGACAAUGGGCGAAAGCCUGAUCCAGCCAUUCCGCGUGCGGGAUGAAGGCCCUCGGGUUGUAAACUGCUUUUGUACAGAACGAAAAGGUUUCUACUAAUACUAGGAGCUCAUGACGGUACUGUAAGAAUAAGCACCGGCUAACUACGUGCCAGCCGCCGCGGUAA